rnacentral:rRNA from 1 species
GACGAACGCUGGCCGGCGUGCCUAAUACAUGCAAGUAGAACGCUGAAGGAGGAGCUUGCUCUUCUGGAUGAGUUGCGAACGGGUGAGUAACGCGUAGGUAACCUGCCUGGUAGCGGGGGAUCUCUAUUGGAAACGAUAGCUAAUACCGCAUAAUAGUAGAUGUUGCAUGACAUUUGCUUAAAAGGUGCAAUUGCAUCACUACCAGAUGGACCUGCGUUGUAUUAGCUAGUUGGUGAGGUAACGGCUCACCAAGGCAACGAUACAUAGCCGACCUGAGAGGGUGAUCGGCCACACUGGGACUGAGACACGGCCCAGACUCCUACGGGAGGCAGCAGUAGGGAAUCUUCGGCAAUGGACGGAAGUCUGACCGAGCAACGCCGCGUGAGUGAAGAAGGUUUUCGGAUCGUAAAGCUCUGUUGUAAGAGAAGAACGAGUGUGAGAGUGGAAAGUUCACACUGUGACGUAUCUAC